UGGUCAGGCCUAGGACAAUAUUGUGUUGCCUUUAAGGUUUUUCUUUAAAUAAAUAAGUUGGUGUUAAAAAGGUUGAUAGGUUUCAAUAAUAUUAAAGGUGGUUACAAAUUGUUUCGAUAAAUAAUUCAUGGUUUCUUUCCGUUUUUAUUAAAAAAUAUUGUCGAUAAAAUGUACUUCCGGUUUCCGGCUACGUACUUCCGGUCUCCCGGU